UGACUUCAUAGAGAGAAAUGCACCAAAGA
rnacentral:piRNA from 1 species